rnacentral:misc_RNA from 1 species
UGAUUCUUCACACGAACUGUUGCGAAAUAAUAUUAUGCCAAAUGCAAGUACCAUUUCUUCCAACUUCAUUCCCCUAAAUAAAUAAUUCAUUAAAUUGAGUCAAAUAAAGUUGAAAUACAGGCACAUCUAAUGAGAUGUGGCCAUGCUAUAUGAGAAUAAUGAAGAAUAUCAUGCACAAAAUAUAUGGUUUGACUUUGAACCUAG